GCAAGUGUAGGAAAGCGGUCAAAUCCGUGUGACUCAAGUUCUCAUCCAUCUGGUUCGCGAGUUCGAAUCUCGCCGCUUGCA
rnacentral:tRNA from 1 species